GUGCGUGUGCGUGUGUGUGUGUGUGUGUGUGUGUGUGUGUGUGUGUGUGUGUGUGUGCGCGUGUGUGUGUUUCUGCUGUCUUCUCAAACCCCCUUUAGUCAUGACUGGAUGGCUGCUCACACUGAGCCAGGAUCCUCUGGAGGUUUCUUGUUUAAAGAGUGUUUUCCUCUCCACUGUCACUACAUGUUUACUUACUAUGAUGUUGCUGACACAAGUCAGUGAGUCAAUGGAAUCUGCUGGGUUCCUUAUAAGGACACUGGCUUAAUAAACUGACCUGUAAUGGCAUGUUUACGUUAUGAAGUGCCUUGAGACGGCUUGUCGAGAUUUGGCGCUUUAUGAAUGAACUGACGUGAAGACAUCAGGUCCAAUCAUAUUUAACCAGAUUCAGCAAAACUUUAUUCUCAAAAGCAUUGUUAGACAGCUGACUUGUUUAGUGGUCAGAUGGCGAAACAAGUCUGGAAGGUCUGUUUGUCCUCAGGAAGGAAAAGGUGGACUAAAAAUACAAGAAUAAGGAGGAAGAAAGUGCAGACAACAGGAACCAAUCAGGAGACGAGACAGAAGAAACCUAUCGUUCUUUCAGCUUCGAUGGCCGAGUUUCUAAAAGUGCGCCGCUCCAAGGAAAACCUCAGUUUCCUGUUGGCUCUCUUCCUGUUUGGUUAAAGGUCACUUCCUGUUGGCUCAGAGGGCAGCAGACCUGAUUUCUUGGGUUUUAUUUACGGGCGCCAACGUUACACCAGAGCUUACAUCAAGGCCAGGCAGUUUUUUUUCUAUAACGCGUUUCAUACUCGAGGAGCCUCUGUGUGUUUUUCAGACAUGGAAAAUCAGAAAGGAACAAAAUCUUCAAAUUAAAAUUUUUAUUUUGUUAGUGAAAAUAAAUUACAAAAAUAAUUUUUUUAUUUUUUAUGUUUUACUGCUCAAUAUGAAUCAUCUUAAAACUCUUAAGAUUAUAUAUAUAUACAUAUACAUACACACACACACACACACACACACACACACACAGA
rnacentral:lncRNA from 1 species